rnacentral:rRNA from 1 species
AGGGGGCUAGCGUUGCUCGGAAUUACUGGGCGUAAAGGGCGCGUAGGCGGAUAGUUUAGUCAGAGGUAAAAGCCCAGAGCUCAACCUUGGAACUGCCUUUGAUACUGGCUAUCUUGAGUUCGGGAGAGGUGAGUGGAAUGCCGAGUGUAGAGGUGAAAUUCGUAGAUAUUCGGCGGAACACCAGUGGCGAAGGCGACUCACUGGCCCGAUACUGACGCUGAGGCGCGAAAGCGUGGGGAGCAAACAGG